UCGGAUCCGACCUUUGCUGCGUGUCAUCCCUCCAUCUCACUACCCCUGUCAUGUCUAUCAACUGUCACUGAAAAUAAAAAUCUUU